AUACUUACCUGGCAAGGGAGACACCGUGAUCACGAAGGCGUUUCACCCAGGGCGAGGCUCAGCCAUUGCACUCCGGCUGUGCUGACCCCUGCGAACUACUGCGUUCGCGCUC
rnacentral:snRNA from 1 species